rnacentral:misc_RNA from 1 species
GAUGAAGAACGUAGCGAAAUGCGAUAAGUAAUGUGAAUUGCAGAAUUCAGUGAAUCAUCGAAUCUUUGAACGCACCUUGCGCUCGUUGGUAUUCCGACGAGCAUGCCUGUUUGAGUGUCAUUAAAUUCUCAACCUCACCACUUUUGUAAUGAAAGUGUGUGUUGGCUUGGAUGUGGGGGUUUGCAGGUCCGCUCUUUUGUGGUCUGCUCCUCUGAAAUGUAUUAGUGGGUUUGGUCCCCUAAUCUAUUGGUGUGAUAAUUAUCUACGCCGUGGAUUGGAAGACUAUUAUGAACCUGCUUCUAACCGUCCCUUACACGGACAAUACUUGACAUUUUUGACCUCAAAUCAGGUAAGACUACCCGCUGAACUUAAGCAUAUCAAUAGGCGGAGGA